rnacentral:misc_RNA from 1 species
GAAAUGCGAUAAGUAGUGUGAAUUGCAGAAUUCAGUGAAUCAUCGAAUCUUUGAACGCACAUUGCGCCCCUUGGUAUUCCAUGGGGCAUGCCAGUUCGAGCGUCAUUUGUACCCUCAAGCUCUGCUUGGUGUUGGGUGUUUGUCCCCGUCUCCGCGCGUGGACUCGCCCCAAAGUGAUUGGCAGCCGGCGUACUGGUCCCGGAGCGCAGCACAUGUCGCGCAAACGAGUGCCUUGGUACGGCGGCGUCCAUAAGCCCCUCUCUCACGCUCUUGACCUCGGAUCAGGUAGGGAUACCCGCUGAACUUAAGC